rnacentral:misc_RNA from 1 species
UUAAGUUCAGCGGGUAAUCCUACCUGAUCCGAGGUCAACCUUCUGUGAUGUUUGGGGGGUUUAACGGCCGGGGGACGCUGGGGAUCGCAGGCGAGAUAUCGCUACUACGCCCGGAACUCCAGCGAGCCCGCCACUAAUUUUCAGGGCCUACGCUCGCGCGUAGCCGCCCCCAACACCAAGCCGGGCUUGAGGGUUGAAAU